UUACGGCCAUAUCGCGCUGAAACGCCGGUUACCAUAUGAUCACCGAAUUUAGGCAAAUUUGAGCCACGUAUGUACCUAGAUGGGUGAUCGCUUGAGAAAACCAGGUGAUGUAAG